UACGUAGGGGGCAAGCGUUGUCCGGAAUCACUGGGCGUAAAGCGCACGUAGGCGGAUCUUUAAGUCAGGGGUGAAAUCCCGAGGCUCAACCUCGGAACUGCCUUUGAUACUGGGGAUCUCGAGUCCGGGAGAGGUGAGUGGAACUGCGAGUGUAGAGGUGAAAUUCGUAGAUAUUCGCAAGAACACCAGUGGCGAAGGCGGCUCACUGGCCCGGAACUGACGCUGAGGUGCGAAAGCGUGGGGAGCAAACAGG
rnacentral:rRNA from 1 species